rnacentral:rRNA from 1 species
UACGGGGGGAGCAAGCGUUGUUCGGAUUUACUGGGCGUAAAGGGCGCGUAGGCGGCCACCGCAAGUCAGUAGUGAAAUCUCUGGGCUUAACCCAGAACGGUCAGCUGAUACUGCGGGGCUAGAGUGCAGAAGGGGCAACUGGAAUUCUCGGUGUAGCGGUGAAAUGCGUAGAUAUCGAGAGGAACACCUGCGGCGAAGGCGGGUUGCUGGGCUGACACUGACGCUGACAGCGCGAAAGCUAGGGGAGCGAACGGG